AUGCACGCUGGCGGCGUGCCUAAUACCUGCCAGUCGAGCGAACAGAUGAGGAGCUUGCUCCUCUGACGUUAGCGGCGGACGGGUGAGUAACACGUGGAUAACCUACCUAUAAGACUGGGAUAACUUCGGGAAACCGGAGCUAAUACCGGAUAAUAUAUUGAACCGCAUGGUUCAAUAGUGAAAGACGGUUUUGCUGUCACUUAUAGAUGGAUCCGCGCCGCAUUAGCUAGUUGGUAAGGUAACGGCUUACCAAGGCAACGAUGCGUAGCCGACCUGAGAGGGUGAUCGGCCACACUGGAACUGAGACACGGUCCAGACUCCUACGGGAGGCAGCAGUAGGGAAUCUUCCGCAAUGGGCGAAAGCCUGACGGAGCAACGCCGCGUGAGUGAUGAAGGUCUUCGGAUCGUAAAACUCUGUUAUUAGGGAAGAUCAAAUGUGUAAGUAACUAUGCACGUCUUGACGGUACCUAAUCAGAAAGCCACGGCUAACUACGUG
rnacentral:rRNA from 1 species